GGGCCCCGACGCACCUUCAGGAAAACCCGACGCCGGGCAGCUCGCGGGCGCCGGCUGUUUUCCUGCGAGACCCAGGCGGUCGGCGGCGACUUCCGGCGCCCUCGGCCGCAGCCCAGGAUCCCUUGCGCCCUGCGGUAGCCCGGGGCUGCCCAGGGCUGCGGGCUCCAGGCACCCAGAGCGCUGCGACCACAUGAAAGGCCCGGCGCUCAGCACCCGCCAGCCACCUCCAGCUGGUUUCUAACUACACCGCCGGGGCCUCCAUGCUUCUCAGGGACCAGCCUUCGAAGUGCCGCCUUACACCCGGGGCCUGGCCACCGGGCGGGCGCGGAUGGAGCUCUGGUCCACAUUUGGGAGCUCACAGUUGUUCCUGCCAGGAACCAGCCAGAACAGGAGGCAGCCAGGGAGAGGGGAGCCAGGGAGAACGCAGCCUCAGUCCUGGAAGGAGAGGGCCUGCUGGGAAGAACAGAACCCAGCUGUCUUGGCCCCAGAUGUGGAAGCCGAGACUUAAAGAAGCUAUGAAACUUGAUCAGGUCAUGCAGCGCCAGAGGACCCAAGGUGGGAUCUCAACCCAGACUGUUUGGCUCCAAAGCUGAACUGCUACAUUAUGUUGCUUCAGCAAACAGUCAUUCAGAACCUCAGCUACCGCCGUGACUUUGGGUGCAAACCUGUCUGAAGCCUGUUGGUGAAGCUCUGCCCAGCUAUGAAGAAGCACAGAUCUGCCUGCCUCCCUUGGAAGGCUCAGACUCUUUUUCUGGAAGGCCUACCUUCUCAUCCUUUGGCAGUUGGGGGAACUGAAGCACAGUGAGGGAGAUAAGCGUGCCAUACAAUGAGAGGACAGAGCUCAGCGCUCUUCACUCAUCUGCCUGUGGGAAAGAGCCAGUUCUAGGGGUGGGGAUCGUGAAGGAGCACCCUACUUCCCUGUCCUUGUCACAUCCCAUGGCCAGUAGCCAUGUACUUUUUCCUCCUUUUUCUCUUGCCCAGCAAAUACAGGCUCCAGCUGCAGCCACUUUGAAGAUAAAGUUUCCUCCAUAGAAAUUCUGCAAUACAGAUGUCCUUCCGCGGUCCCCGUUCAGUCCUGCACCAGUUCCUUUUCCCACUGGGAAAUUUCUUUCCUCUUCCUACUUCCAUGCAACUGCGAGGCAAGGCUCAAGCCCACUUCCUUCUCCUUUUCCUGUGUCUCCCUGUGGAAGGAGCUCCCUCUUCUUCACAGCUCCAGGCUCUUCCCUACUCUGGCCCAACCUUAUGGGUAUUUUGCUCCAUAACUCUCCUCAAUCUGAACUGCUUCUGAUUUCUCUCAAGUCAUGUCGGGGAAUCUCACAAAUGCAUUCUGAGAAAUACAAGAAUGCCUGAGAUGUUCCAGGCAGAAAAGAUUCCAGGAUCAAAACAUUUGGGAAAAGCUUCACAUCUCUCCUUAGAAAUGAACAAGGCAUAGUCAUCAAGCAUCUGAAAAGUCCUGCAGUCAGGAAACCUACCUUGUUUGUUUUUUAACCCAGUAUUUCCCAAACUAAGAUGGCCAUGAUUUCAUCUCCUCCAUCCCCACUGACUCCUAUAACAACAUGUAGAACCAGCGAUCCACUGUGGAACACACUUUGGGAAACACUGUCCCCAGCCCUCCAAGAAGGCAUAGAGUUGACCUUGCCUUCAUUGAUUUAAACCCUUCCUGUUUCUCUGGGCUAUUUACUUAUUAUCUCACAUACAAAAUAAUCUAAGGUGAUGUCUGCCCAAUUGGAUUUUUAGGAAAGACAUACCCGAUGGGAAUGAAGAUUUUCUUAGCAGGAUUUGAUGAGCCCAUUACUAGAAAAAAAAUCAAGGAUUUCCCAGACUUUCAGGGUGAGGAGAGAAUUUGAUACAAGCAGCAGAGGCUGGGCGUAGUGACCCAUGCCUAGCACUUUGGUAGGCCAAGGAGGGAGGAUUGCUUGAACCCAGGAAUCCAAGACAAGCCUGGGCAACAUAGUAAGAUCCCAUCUCAAUUUUUUAAAGAAGGAUUUAUCAAACUUGUUUCCUAGUCAAUGGAUAAAGCCAAAGAUGUAAUGGCCAGAAACCCAAAAUCUAGAGUUCAGUACCAGAUAAAUACUUUUUGGGUGAAUGAAUGAAUGAGCAGGCUAUUGAUCACAAAGUUGGCAGACAUUGUGAAUGAAUGGAUGAAUUAAUAAACAAUCAAAUAACUGGUGUCCAGGCCUCCAGACUUUCUGAACUUCAUUGUAUCUACCUGCUGUGGCCACAUAUAUAUCUCCUCAAAACCCAGAUCUCAUCAGUCCACUCUUCUGUUCCCUGGCUGGCUCCCUGUUGCCUUCAGGAUAAAGUCUACAUGCCUUUCUCCUGGCAUUGGAAACUCUGCAAAACAAAGCUCCAACCUAGCUUUCCAUCCUUCUUUCUCUUCCCCAUUGGGUACCCCUUACUCUAGUCACACCAGUCCCCAAUUCACUUUAUCUGUCUCCUUUUCUUUCUCAAGCUAUUCUCUAUACCUCACCUUUUCUCCCCUGCCUCCAUUGUUGCUUAUUCAACCCUAGCAGUGCUUUCAGGCUCAGCUCAAACCUUAUCACCCAUGUUAAAUGAAAGAAGCCAGAUACAAGAAGGGGACAUUCUGAAUGAUUCCAUUUAUAUGAAGGUUAAGAACAGGCAAAACUAUUGUGGGGAAAAAACAGAACUGUGGUUGCCUUUGGGGAGUGAGGAUUGAUUAGAAGGGGUUUUGGGGGUAUGAAAAUGUUCUUGAUCUUCAUUCCAGUGGUAAUUUCAUGAGUGAAUACAUUUGCCAAAAUUCACUGAAUUGUACACCAAAGAUCUGCAUUUCUCUGUAUUGUCAAUUUAAUCUAAAAAUAAAAAUCUUACCACCCAGA